CAAGAAUUGAGGUAAGACCGUAUACAUCUUAUACAUUCAUAUACAUUCGGUGCAGUGUCCUUCGAUAGACACCAGGUCAUAUCGUCCAAAAAAAUUAAAUAAGGCAUCUCGGAUCCGUUCAAAACAAUAAGAAUUAUUUAAUUAUUAAAUUUAAAGGCACUGGAGCGCAAGAUAAGGUAAAAGAAUAAGGACACUCGUUAUGAUAGAAAAAUUAUUUAUGUCGAGGACGACAAUGCGACAAUUAGAAGAAAUGAUAGUUUCUCUUAACGUAUGUAGCUGAUUUCUACCAUUACUCAUGGUCAAAAACCAAUUUAAAAGGCUAAAACAGACAAUUUUUGAAGUACUUGAAUCGGUAUAGAAGCAUCCGAUAUUGACCUCAGUCAUACUUGCAGUGCAAAUUGCGAUUGCGAUUACAAUAUUAUGCAGGUUUCUGAAAAUGACUGGAUGAUAGUACAAACUUAUCAAGAUUAGAGGUAUCUUCGAGGGAAUACCGCAUCCAACCAGCUGUACUCAGCAUACGUAUCCAAAUAGCAACGCACC